GCUCGGGUUCAACCGGCCGAUGAUGGAGAAGAAAUGCGGAAGACCAGCAACACAGACGCUGACAAACGCUCACAACAGGUAAGAAUAGACACAACAACAGGACAAAACAUCAAACGAAAGACAAAGCUUGUGUGUGCGUGUGUGUGUGUGUGUGUGUGUGUGUGUGUGUGUGUGUGUGUGUGUGUGUUGCACGGACCAACGGGCAUAGGGACAGGUCACUCUGUCUCAGGAAAAGAUUACCUGCAUUUGAGAGAUUCAGACGUGCAGGCAUCCAGAGAUUGACAGCUCCACUUGUCUUCCGUGUCAUGAAGAUUUCAGACCUUCAUUAAGAUAAGGCCAAUCCUGUGAGGACCCUGAGGCAUCUAGAGAUGUACCAGCUCCAGUUUGAUUCUGCUUCAUAAAGUGUUCGGACAUUCCAAGAGAUGUGAACUCCAUGUGGCAUUGAGGACAACAACGUCCUCUCAAGGUUUCUUCCUCUACCAUAUAAGGGAGUUUUUCCUCACCACAUUCUCCUCAGACACCUCCAGCUUAUUAAUCUUGACUUUUUGUGUUAUAGUAAUCUUUAUAUUAAACUGUAUGUAUUAUGUUUAUGUUCUGUAAAGCUGUGUUGAGUCAAAGUUCAUUGUUAAAAGGGCUAUACAAAUAAAUUUGAUUGCAAUGGU